rnacentral:rRNA from 1 species
AGAGAGAGACAUGCGCGCAUAUCAAUAAGCGGAGGAAAAGAAACUAACUAGGAUUCCCUCAGUAACGGCGAGUGAAGCGGGAAGAGCUCAAAUUUGAAAUCUUAAAGGGUUUCCCUUGACGAAUUGUAGUUUAAAGAAGUGUUUUCUGUUGGAGGUUUUGGUAAAAGUUCUUUGGAAUAGGACAUCAUAGAGGGUGAGAAUCCCGUAUUUGACCAUUAUUUCCAGCUUUGUGAUACACUUUCAAAGAGUCGGAUUGUUUGGGAAUGCAGUCCAAAAUGGGUGGUAAAUUUCAUCUAAAGCUAAAUAUUGGCGAGAGACCGAUAGCGAACAAGUACCGUGAGGGAAAGAUGAAAAGAACUUUGAAAAGAGAGUUAAACAGUACGUGAAAUUGUCAAAAGGGAAGCGUUUGACACCAGUGUUGUUUUCUCGAAAAUCAAUUAAAAAAGGCAGGAUUUUGUGUUGUAUUGACUUUAUCAGCUUUCUGCACUCUUUUCUUGUCUUUUUUAAUGCACUUUUCGUUUAACAAGUCAACAUCAAUUUCUUUUGUUGUAAAAGGGUCAUUGGAAGGUGGCUUUCUUUUCGGAGAAAGUGUUUAUAGCCUUUGACUCCUGCAAUCGGAGAGACUGAGGUCUGCAGCGUAGAUCCUUCGGGGUUAGAUACAUUUGUGCUAAGUUAUAGCUUUUAUAGACAACUUGUUGACUAUGAUUAGUCAUUGUAGCUUACUCGCUUAUGCUAUUUUACCUACGCUUAGGAUGUUGAUGUGAUACUGCGAGC